UCUCUCAUAACUGAACCCUAGCCUCCCAAUACUCAAACUCUAUCUCACUCAUCCAUGCUCUUACAAAAUCUCACAGAUCCAUGAACUAGUGUCAUCGAAAGAUCAAGGCUUUUAGGUUCGAUUUGCGGUUUUCCUAUGCUUGACGCGGUAUUUCAAUCUGAAAAGAGGUGAAUUGAUCUGUCCAGAUUCCAGAAGCUGGUGGAAUUUCCCAAAACAACCCGAAUUGUCCAUCGACUCAACAACCCGAAUUGUCCAUCGAAUUGUUCAUUGACUGUUCCUUUUUAUGGUGAAUUAUUUUUGUUGGCUAGAGAUGCGUUGAGUUUGAGGGCGAUAACAUUCCUGGGUUCUGGAUAAUUCUAUUGUUGUAGUUCAUAGUUCCGAUCAUUCAAGUUUCUGCUUUGAAAUGGAGUUGGCAGCUUAUGUUCUGUUACUUUGAAACAUGUAGUGAUGUUCCCUUGGAAUGAAUGCAUUGAAAUUUCGAGUAGCAUAAAUGAAUAACCAAGUCAAGACCUCUGUUUGCAUUUGGAUCUUGCACAGUUUAUUUUUAUCUAUCGCUGCGGGUAAUGGAGCUCACAGGAGAACAAAAGGCAUUUGAACUUCAAAUUAGUGACUAUCAUCAUCUAAGUAGAUUGUAAUAUUUAAUUGCCUCAACUGUUAAGAAGUUGUAUUAGCUUUUUAGAAAUAUAAUGUAUAUGGUUGAUAUGGAGAAAGUCUACACUUAAUAGUUUUUCUUUUAUGACUUACUCUACUGUACAAUUAAUAUUAAUUGAAGUAAUACAAUAUGGAUUUUGUUUAGUAA